AUUCUUAUUCGGCCCAUAGCUUUGCCUUCAUUCGACUUGCGACAAAAGGUGUGUGGUGAACCAGAGGGGUUAUAUACCAGCUGAGACAUCUUAGCUUGGUUGGUGACCAAGAACGAGAACUAGUGGGCAUUAUGAUCAUCAAGUGCGGUGACGAAAUAUAAAAUUUUGUUUACAACUUCUCAUUCAACGAUCAUCUCACUGUCUGCCAUUCAAAACUCGAGUUUCCUAUUCAUUUUAUGCUUGCGACAAGAGGUGCGUAGUGCCCCGGAGGCCUAGAGUACUAAGACAUCCUAGCUUGGUCGGAGAACUGGGAAAAGAUCCCACCAAUAUGCCUAAAGAUUGGCUGAUAUCAUUAAUCAACCAUAUAUGGGAUA